ACGUAGGGUGCGAGCGUUAAUCGGAAUUACUGGGCGUAAAGCGGGCGCAGGCGGCUCUAUAAGACAGAUGUGAAAUCCCCGGGCUUAACCUGGGAACUGCGUUUGUGACUGGCGGGCUGGAGUACGGCAGAGGGGGGUGGAAUUCCACGUGUAGCAGUGAAAUGCGUAGAGAUGUGGAGGAACACCGAUGGCGAAGGCAGCCGCCUGGGCCGAUACUGACGCUCAUGCACGAAAGCGUGGGGAGCAAACAG
rnacentral:rRNA from 1 species